rnacentral:lncRNA from 10 species
CUAAGUAGUUAAAAUUAGAAAUCACAGCAAGUCAACAGGAAGCUCUCCUCUGCCAGUCUCCUAAAUCACAAUAUGGCCUUGUCGUGGCUGGAGUAUUUCAAAGGCUCAGUCCCACUCCAGAAUCGGCCCUGUCGCCUCCGCCCGCACUCCAGAGCCGGCUGAGAACCGCAGCGGCGCGGGAUCCACGUGCAGCGUCUCUCCAGGUCAAAGCUACCUAGAUGUCAUCAUACAAAUUACAGGCUAUGACGUCCACCUCAUUCUCUUUCUGGAAGGCUGACCUUAACUGUCCUGCACAUUCCUUACACAGCAUAUUUGCCCUUUUCCUAUACUAAUAAGCCCUAAAUCUUGGGGGUAACAGCCUGGGGAACUACCUGUCUUGCUACCACUCAAGACCAUACUUCUGUCCACAAAUUCCCCCCAAUAAAUUAUCUUUUACUGACAA